rnacentral:rRNA from 1 species
AAUCAAGUGGAGGACAAGUCUGGUGCCAGCACCCGCGGUAAUUCCAGCUCCACUAGCGUAUAUUAAAGUUGUUGCAGUUAAAAAGCUCGUAGUUGAACCUCUGUCUGGGGCUAGUUUUGGCUUUGGUCAGGCUAGUUCUAGGCAUCCGCCUACAAGACUUAGAGGGCAUUCAGUUGUUCACUAGGAGGAGUAGGCAUUUUACUUUGAAAAAAUUAGAGUGUUUAAGGCAGGCAAUCGCCCGCAUAUAUUAGCAUGGAAUAAUAGAAUAGGACACUUUUCCAUUUCGUUGGUUAUUGGAAUCGUGUAAUGAUUAAUAGGGACAGUUGUGGGCAUUUGUAUUUAAUUGUCAGAGGUGAAAUUCUUGGAUUUAUUAAAGACAAACUAACGCGAAAGCAUUUGCCAAGGAUGUUUUCAUUAAUCAAGAACGAAAGUUAGGGGAUCAAAGACGAUCAGAUACCGUCCUAGUCUUAACUAUAAACUAUUCCGACUCAAUGUUUGACUGGCUUAUAUAACCAGUUGAGCGUUGUAUGAGAAAUCAAAGUCUUUAGGUUCUGGGGGGAGUAUGGUUGCAAAGCUGAAACUUAAAGGAAUUGACGGAAGAGCACAACCAGGAGUGGAUUCUGCGGCUUAAUUUGACUCAACACGGGGAAACUUACCAGGUUAAAACAAUAGUGGGAUUGACAGUUUGAGAGCGCUUUCUUGAUUGGUUGGGUGGUGGUGCAUGGCCGUUCUUAGUUGGUGGAGUGAUUUGUCUGCUUAAUUGCGUUAACGAACGAGACCUUAACCUGCUUACUAGACUGGCGAUCAUCAAUCGUUAGCUCUUCUUAGAGGGACUUUGGUUGUUUUAACUCCAAGGAAGUUUGAGGCAAUAACAGGUCUGUGAUGCCCUUAGAUAUCCUGGGCCGCACGCGUCAUACAAUGACUAGUUCAGAAAGUUUUCUCCUGACCCGAAAGGGGAUGCUAAUCUUGAUAAUACUAGUCGUGUUAGGGAUCGAUCUUUGAAAUUAUAGAUCUUGAACGAGGAAUUCCUAGUAAGUGCGGUUCAUCAGACCGUACUGAUUACGUCCCUGCUCUUUGUACACACCGCCCGUCGCUUCUACCGAGUGGGUGGUCCGGUGAGAUAAUUGAACUUCGCAGGUAACUGAGAGGAAAGAUUAUCAAACCUAUCCACCU